UGGCGGCGUGCUAUACAUCCCAGUGCUUAGAAUGGAUUGAGAGCUUGCUCUCAUGAAGUUAGCGGCGGACGGGUGAGUAACACGUGGGUAACCUGCCCAUAAGACUGGGAUAACUCCGGGAAACCGGGGCUAAUACCGGAUAANAUUUUGAACUGCAUGGUUCGAAAUUGAAAGGCGGCUUCGGCUGUCACUUAUGGAUGGACCCGCGUCGCAUUAGCUAGUUGGUGAGGUAACGGCUCACCAAGGCAACGAUGCGUAGCCGACCUGAGAGGGUGAUCGGCCACACUGGGACUGAGACACGGCCCAGACUCCUACGGGAGGCAGCAGUAGGGAAUCUUCCGCAAUGGACGAAAGUCUGACGGAGCAACGCCGCGUGAGUGAUGAAGGCUUUCGGGUCGUAAAACUCUGUUGUUAGGGAAGAACAAGUGCUAGUUGAAUAAGCUGGCACCUUGACGGUACCUAACCAGAAAGCCACGGCUAACUACGUGCCAGCAGCCGCGGUAAUACGUAGGUGGCAAGCGUUAUCCGGAAUUAUUGGGCGUAAAGCGCGCGCAGGUGGUUUCUUAAGUCUGAUGUGAAAGCCCACGGGCUCAACCGUGGAGGGUCAUUGGAAACUGGGAGACUUGAGUGCGAAGAGGAAAGUGGAAUUCCUGUGUAGCGGUGAAAUGCGUNGAGAUUGGGGAACACCAGUGGCGAAGGCGACUUNCUGGUCUGUACUGACCUGAGGCGCGAAG
rnacentral:rRNA from 1 species